UACGUAGGGGGCAAGCGUUGUCCGGAAUCAUUGGGCGUAAAGCGCGUGUAGGCGGCCCGAUAAGUCCGCUGUGAAAGUCCAGGGCUCAACCCUGGAAUGCCGGUGGAUACUGUCGGGCUCGAGUCCGGAAGAGGCGAGUGGAAUUCCUGGUGUAGCGGUGGAAUGCGCAGAUAUCAGGAGGAACACCAAUGGCGAAGGCAGCUCGCUGGGACGGUACUGACGCUAAGGCGCGAAAGCGUGGGGAGCAAACAGG
rnacentral:rRNA from 1 species